rnacentral:rRNA from 1 species
UACGGAGGGUGCAAGCAUUAUCCGGAUUUACUGGGUUUAAAGGGUGCGUAGGUGGGUCUGUAAGUCAGUGGUGAAAUCUCCGGGCUUAACCCGGAAACUGCCAUUGAUACUAUAGGUCUUGAAUAUCCUGGAGGUGAGCGGAAUAUGUCAUGUAGCGGUGAAAUGCUUAGAUAUGACAUAGAACACCAAUUGCGAAGGCAGCUCACUACGGGAUUAUUGACACUGAGGCACGAAAGCGUGGGGAUCAAACAGG